rnacentral:rRNA from 1 species
UACGUAGGGUGCAAGCGUUGUCCGGAAUUAUUGGGCGUAAAGAGCUCGUAGGCGGUCUGUCGCGUCUGCUGUGAAAACUCAGGGCUUAACCCUGAGCUUGCAGUGGGUACGGGCAGACUAGAGUGCGGUAGGGGAGACUGGAAUUCCUGGUGUAGCGGUGAAAUGCGCAGAUAUCAGGAGGAACACCGGUGGCGAAGGCGGUUCUCUGGGCAUUACCUGACGCUGAGGAGCGAAAGCAUGGGGAGCGAACAGG